rnacentral:rRNA from 1 species
GACGAACGCUGGCGGCGUGCUUAACACAUGCAAGUCGAGCGGUAAGGCCCUUUCGGGGGUACACGAGCGGCGAACGGGUGAGUAACACGUGGGUGACCUGCCCUCAGCUCUGGGAUAAGCCUGGGAAACCGGGUCUAAUACUGGAUAUGACUCCAUGACGCAUGUUGUGGGGUGGAAAGCCUUGUGCGGCUGAGGAUGGGCCCGCGGCCUAUCAGCUUGUUGGUGGGGUGAGGCCUACCAAGGCGACGACGGGUAGCCGGCCUGAGAGGGCGACCGGCCACACUGGGACUGAGACACGGCCCAGACUCCUACGGGAGGCAGCAGUGGGGAAUCUUGCGCAAUGGGCGAAAGCCUGACGCAGCGGCGCCGCGUGAGGGAUGAC